rnacentral:tRNA from 1 species
GUGGGUAGAGCUCAGUGGUAGAGCGUGUGCUUGGCACACAUGAUGUCCUGGUUUCAAUCCCCAGUGCCUCCG